UACAGAGGAUGCAAGCGUUAUCCGGAAUGAUUGGGCGUAAAGCGUCUGUAGGUGGCUUUAAGUCCGCCGUCAAAUCCCAGGGCUCAACUCUGGACAGGCGGUGGAAACUACCAAGCUGGAGUACGGUAGGGCAGAGGGAAUUCCGGUGGAGCGGUGAAAUGCGUAGAGAUCGGAAGAACACCAACGGCGAAAGCACUCUGCUGGGCCGACACUGACACUGAUGCGCGAAGCCAGGGAGCGAACGGG
rnacentral:rRNA from 1 species